GACGAACGCUGGCGGCGUGCUUAACACAUGCAAGUCGAACGGAAAGGCCCUGCUUUUGUGGGGUGCUCGAGUGGCGCACGGGUGAGUAACACGUGAGUAACCUGCCCUUGACUUUGGGAUAACUUCAGGAAACUGGGGCUAAUACCGGAUAGGAGCUCCUGCUGCAUGGUGGUGGUUGGAAAGUUUCGGCGGUUGGGGAUGGACUCGCGGCUUAUCAGCUUGUUGGUGGGGUAGUGGUUUACCAAGGCUUUGACGGGUAGCCGGCCUGAGAGGUUAAACGGCCACAUUGGGACUGAGAUACGGCGCAGACUCCUACGGGAGGCAGCAGUGGGGAAUAUUGCACAAUGGGCGGAAGCCUGAUGCAGCAACGCCGCGUGCGGGAUGACGGCCUUCGGGUUGUAAACCGCUUUCGCCGGUGACGAAGCGUGAGUGACGGUAAUGGGUAAAGAAGCACCGGCUAACUACGUG
rnacentral:rRNA from 1 species